UUAUAUUGUAGGUAUGAAAAAUGGUGUAUGAGACUGCAGAGUAUAAAAAUACGUAUGCGUGUGAAGAAAACCAGUGAAAAGAAAGCUUUAUUCAGCACUUCUUCAAGCAAAAACGACUGAAAAAUCAUGCCAGGAUUAUGAAGGAUACAUUCAGCAGCCUCAAAAGCUCACAGCAUACCUGGGAUCUCAAUGCACAACAGAAGCAUCUUCAAGUACCUGAAGCACCAAAUCAGACACCUGAAGUCAAGUUCAGAACAAUUUGCCCUUCACCGGAUCCCCCUUCAUGCCACGAUGACA